rnacentral:rRNA from 1 species
CUUCCGUAGGGUGAACCUGCGGAAGGAUCAUUAAAUAAUUUAGAUGGCCUUUGCUAGUUUUCUAGCGAAUGGUUCAUUCUUUUUUACUGUGAACUGUUUUAAUUUUUCAGCGUCUGAGGAAUGUCUUUUAGCCAUAGGGAUAGGCUACUAGAAUGUUAACCGAGCUGAAAGUCAGGCUUAGGCCUGGUAUCCUAUUAAUUAUUUACCAAAAGAAUUCAGUAUUAUAAUUGUAACAUAAGCGUAAAAAACUUAUAAAACAACUUUUAACAACGGAUCUCUUGGUUCUCGCAUCGAUGAAGAACGUAGCAAAGUGCGAUAACUAGUGUGAAUUGCAUAUUCAGUGAAUCAUCGAGUCUUUGAACGCAACUUGCGCUCAAUGGUAUUCCAUUGAGCACGCCUGUUUCAGUAUCAAAAACACCCCACAUUCAUAAUUUUGUUGUGAAUGGAAAUGAGAGUUUCGGCUUUAUUGCUGAAUUCUUUAAAAUUAUUAGGCCUGAACUAUUGUUCUUUCUGCCUGAACAUUUUUUUAAUAUAAAGGAAUGCUCUAGUAAAAAGACUAUCUCUGGGGCCUCCCAAAUAAAUCAUUCUUAAAUUUGAUCUGAAAUCAGGCGGGAUUACCCGCUGAACUUAAGCAUAUCAAUAA